GGAGUUUGGUCCGUGUCUCAGUACCAAUGUGGGGGACCUUCCUCUCAGAACCCCUACUGAUCGAUGGCUUGGUGGGCCGUUACCCCGCCAACAACCUAAUCAGACGCAUCCCCACUCCCACUAGCGGUAAACCUUUAGCUUCAUAUCUGAUGCCAUCAACGAAGAACAUAGGGUAUUAAUC
rnacentral:rRNA from 1 species